rnacentral:tRNA from 1 species
AGGGGACUUAGGAUAAUACAAGACCAAGGGCCUUCAAAGCCCUAAGCGGGAGUGAAAGUCUCCCAGCCCCUG